CCUACGGGAGGCAGCAGUGAGGAAUAUUGGACAAUGGGCGCAAGCCUGAUCCAGCCAUGCCGCGUGCAGGAAGACGGUCCUAUGGAUUGUAAACUGCUUUUGUACAGGAAGAAACACUCCCUCGUGAGGGAGCUUGACGGUACUGUAAGAAUAAGGAUCGGCUAACUCCGUGCCAGCAGCCGCGGUAAUACGGAGGAUCCAAGCGUUAUCCGGAAUCAUUGGGUUUAAAGGGUCCGUAGGCGGUUUAAUAAGUCAGUGGUGAAAUCUGGUCGCUCAACGAUCAAACGGCCAUUGAUACUGUUAGACUUGAAUUAUUAGGAAGUAACUAGAAUAUGUAGUGUAGCGGUGAAAUGCUUAGAUAUUACAUGGAAUACCAAUUGCGAAGGCAGGUUACUACUAAUGGAUUGACGCUGAUGGACGAAAGCGUGGGGAGCGAACAGGAUUAGAUACCCUGGUAGUCCACGCCGUAAACGAUGGAUACUAGCUGUUGGGCGCAAGUUCAGUGGCUAAGCGAAAGUGAUAAGUAUCCCACCUGGGGAGACGUUCGCAAGAAUGAAACUCAAAGAGUAGUACGACGNGAGAGAGACGACGACGACGACGAGGAGGAGGAGG
rnacentral:rRNA from 1 species